UACGGGGGGGGCAAGCGUUGUUCGGAAUUACUGGGCGUAAAGGGCUCGUAGGCGGCCAACUAAGUCGGAUGUGAAAUCCCCAGGCUUAACCUGGGAACUGCAUCCGAUACUGGUCGGCUUGAAUCCGGGAGAGGGAUGCAGAAUUCCAGGUGUAGCGGUGAAAUGCGUAGAUAUCUGGAGGAAUACCGGUGGCGAAGGCGGCAUCCUGGACCGGCAUUGACGCUGAAGAGCGAAAGCUAGGGGAGCAAACGGG
rnacentral:rRNA from 1 species